rnacentral:rRNA from 1 species
CCAACCGGAGCUAAUACCGGAUAAUCUUUUUCAACUCAUGUUGGAAAACUGAAAGUCGGUUUCGGCUGACACUCACAGAUGGGCCCGCGGCGCAUUAGCUAGUUGGUGAGGUAACGGCUCACCAAGGCGACGAUAAGUAGCCGACCUGAGAGGGUGAUCGGCCACACUGGGACUGAGACACGGCCCAGACUCCUACGGGAGGCAGCAGUAGGGAAUCUUCCACAAUGGACGAAAAUCUGAUGGAGCAACGCCGCGUGAGCGAUGAAGGCCUUCGGGUCGUAAAG